ACUCCUACGGGAGGCAGCAGUGGGGAAUAUUGGACAAUGGGCGCAAGCCUGAUCCAGCCAUGCCGCGUGAGUGAUGAAGGCCCUAGGGUUGUAAAGCUCUUUCACCGGAGAAGAUAAUGACGGUAUCCGGAGAAGAAGCCCCGGCUAACUUCGUGCCAGCAGCCGCGGUAAUACGAAGGGGGCUAGCGUUGUUCGGAAUUACUGGGCGUAAAGCGCACGUAGGCGGAUCGAUCAGUCAGGGGUGAAAUCCCAGGGCUCAACCCUGGAACUGCCUUUGAUACUGUCGAUCUGGAGUAUGGAAGAGGUGAGUGGAAUUCCGAGUGUAGAGGUGAAAUUCGUAGAUAGUCGGAGGAACACCAGUGGCGAAGGCGGCUCACUGGUCCAUUACUGACGCUGAGGUGCGAAAGCGUGGGGAGCAAACAGGAUUAGAAACCCCGGUAGUCCC
rnacentral:rRNA from 1 species